CGGGAUGUUCCCAAACAAACGGUUGCAACAGACAAAAGAAAACUAGCCAUCUCUAUCAGCGUUUCUGAUUUAUUAUUAUUAAUCAUCAGUGUUUACUCCUG